GGAAAGGUUACCAUGACAGGCAAAUGAACCAAGGUCCCUCUAAGGUGGAAGUAGGACUGGACCCCAGGUGGGAAUACUGCAGAGUCAAGGCAAAAUAUUUUAGAGGUGUCUUUCCCAUGAUGCCACCUGAUUCUACUGGGCCAGGCAACAUUUUCAUCAAUGCUAU